rnacentral:snRNA from 1 species
CCACGAGGCGCUGUCUACGAGU